GCGUACUCCACACUCCCCCCUCCCCGCCACCCGAUCUCAUCAGUUCUCAGAAAGCUAAGCAGGCUUGAGCCUCGUUAACACUUGGAUGCGCGACUCCCAGGGCUUGCCAGGCGUUGUAGGCA
rnacentral:rRNA from 1 species